CACUCAAAAUGAUGGAUCACUCAGCUACGUAAUACAGAAUGCAGCAAGCUGCAAUAAUUAGUAUGAAUUGCAGUACACAUUGAUUAUCAACACUUUGAAGACACUUUGUGGCCCAAGGUUCCUUCCGGGGCUUUAUUUAUCUGAGGGCUG